rnacentral:rRNA from 1 species
UACAGAGGGUGCAAGCGUUGUUCGGAAUUAUUGGGCGUAAAGGGCGCGUAGGCGGUGCGGUAAGUCUGCGGUGAAAUCUCCCGGCUCAACUGGGAGUCUGCCGUGGAAACUGCCGUGCUUGAGUGUGGGAGAGGUGAGUGGAAUUCCCGGUGUAGCGGUGAAAUGCGUAGAUAUCAGGAGGAACACCGGUGGUGUAGACGGCUCACUGGACCAUAACUGACGCUGAGACACGAAAGCGUGGGUAGCAAACAGG